rnacentral:rRNA from 1 species
AACGAACGCUGGCGGCAGGCUUAACACAUGCAAGUCGAGCGCCCCGCAAGGGGAGCGGCAGACGGGUGAGUAACGCGUGGGAAUCUACCCAUCUCUACGGAAUAACGCAUGGAAACGUGUGCUAAUACCGUAUACGUCCUUCGGGAGAAAGAUUUAUCGGAGAUGGAUGAGCCCGCGUUGGAUUAGCUAGUUGGUGGGGUAAAGGCCUACCAAGGCGACGAUCCAUAGCUGGUCUGAGAGGAUGAUCAGCCACACUGGGAUUGAGACACGGCUCAGACUCCUACGGGAGGCAGCAGUGGGGAAUAUUGGACAAUGGGCGCAAGCCUGAUCCAGCCAUGCCGCGUGAGUGAUGAAGGCCCUAGGGUUGUAAAGCUCUUUCACCGGUGAAGAUAAUGACGGUAACCGGAGAAGAAGCCCCGGCUAACUUCGUGCCAGCCGCCGCAGUAACAC